AUGGCCGCCGACGUCUUCAUGUGCUCCCCGCGCCGACCCCGCAGCCGGGGCCGCCCGGCGCUGCUCAAGCCCCAGGCGCCGGAGGACGACGACGACUCGGACACGGAUGAGCCGUCCCCGCCGCCCGCCGCGGCCGCCGCCACCGCGGCCCGGGCCCACGCGAGCGCCGCGCCGCCGCCGCCCCGGGCCGGGCCGGGCCGCGAGGAGCCGCCGCGCCGCCAGCAGAUCAUCCACAGCGGCCACUUCAUGGUCUCCUCGCCGCACCGCGAGCACCCGCCCAAGAAGGGCUACGAUUUCGACACGGUCAACAAGCAGACGUGCCAGACCUACAGCUUCGGCAAGACCAGCUCCUGCCACCUGUCCAUCGACGCCUCGCUCACCAAGCUCUUCGAGUGCAUGACCCUGGCCUACAGUGGGAAACUGGUGUCUCCAAAGUGGAAGAAUUUCAAGGGCCUGAAGCUGCAGUGGAGAGACAAGAUCCGGCUCAACAACGCCAUCUGGCGGGCGUGGUACAUGCAGUAUUUGGAAAAGCGCAAGAACCCCGUGUGCCACUUUGUCACCCCGCUGGACGGCUCUGUGGACGUAGAUGAGCAUCGCCGCCCAGAGGCCAUCACCACAGAAGGGAAGUACUGGAAGAGCCGCAUUGAGAUUGUCAUCAGGGAAUAUCACAAGUGGAGAACUUACUUCAAGAAAAGGCUGCAGCAGCACAAGGAUGAGGACCUGUCCAGCCUGGCCCAGGAUGACGACUUGCUCUAUUGGCACAAACAUGGGGAUGGCUGGAAGACCCCAGUCCCCAUGGAGGAGGACCCCCUGCUGGACACAGACAUGCUCAUGUCAGAAUUCAGUGACACCCUCUUCUCCACACUGUCUUCACACCAGCCAGUGGCCUGGCCCAACCCACGGGAAAUAGCACACCUGGGGAACGCGGACAUGAUCCAACCGGGGCUGAUGCCUUUGCAGCCCAACCUGGACUUCAUGGACACCUUUGAGCCUUUCCAGGACCUCUUCUCUUCCAGCCGCUCCAUUUUUGGCUCCAUGCUGCCUGCACCUGCCUCGGCACCUGCACCAGAUCCUAGCAGCCCACCUGCUCAGGAGAGCAUCCUGACGACCCCGACUCUCCCCGCUGUGAGCCUCCCAGACAGCCUCAUCGUGCCCCCUGCAGACACCACCCUGGAUCCCAGUAAUAGGCAGGGCUGUGAACGUACCUCCAGGCCUGGGGACCCCUUUAUCCAGCCUACAGACUUUGGUCCCCCUGCGCCACCACUGGGUGCCACCCAGCCUUUCCUCCCCAUCUUCACCAUGCCCCUGCUCUGCCCCAGUCCUGCCCCGGCACCCACUUCCCCGGCCUUGCCAUUAGUCACUCCUCCAGCCACUGCCCUGAACCCCCCGACCCCACCUGCCUUCCUACAGCCCCAGAAGUUUGCUGCAGUCAGCAAGUCACCCUCUGUCAUCACCCACACAGCCUCCGCUACCCUCACCCAUGAUGCCUCUGCCACCACCUUCAGCCAGAGCCAGGGUCUGGUCAUCACCACCCGUCAUCCCACCCCCACGGGGGGCCCCUGUGGCCUGGCCCUGGCUCCUGUCACCCAGCCACCGACAGUUGGGCCUCCCCAGCCCCGUUUAACUUUUGUGCAACCCAAACCUGUAUCCUUGAGUGGGGGGAGGCCCAAGCAGCCCCCCAAAAUAGUGCCUGCUCCCAAACCAGAGCCUGUGUCCUUGGUACUGAAGAAUGCCUGCAUCAGCCCAGCUGCCUUUUCAGGACAGUCGCCAACAGUGAUCAUGGCACCGGGGCCUCUGAAGAGAGAGGGGAUGUUGGCUUCUCCGGGUUCCCAGUCCAACGUGGUCAUCGCGCCAGCUGCCAUUGCCAGGGCUCCCGGAGUCACGGAGUUCCACAGCGGCAUUCUGGUGACAGACCUUGGCCACAGCAGCAGCAGCCAGCCAGCCCCCGGCCCCCGGCUCUUCUCCUCGGGGACAGUGCAGGAUGGCCUGGUGAAGGGCGAGCAGGUCCCCGCUGCGGCUCCCAGCCGAGACGGGCCAAGCUCAGGGCAGGCCUCUCCGUGCACGUCAGAACAGAGCCCUAGUCCUCAGUCUCCUCAGAACAACUGCUCAGGGAAAUCUGCAGACCCCAAGAACGUGGCCGCUCUGAAGAACCGGCAGCUGAAGCACAUCUCAGCUGAGCAGAAGAGGCGCUUCAACAUCAAGAUGGGCUUCGACACCCUCAACAGCUUGAUCUCUAAUAAUUCCAAGCUGACCAGCCACGCCGUCACGCUGCAGAAGGCCGUGGAGCACAUCACCAAGCUGCAGCAGGAGCGCGGCCAGAUGCAGGAGGAGGGCCGGCGGCUGCGGGAGGAGAUCGAGGCGCUCAACGCCACCAUUAUCUCCUGCCAGCAACUGCUCCCGGCCACAGGAGUUCCUGUUGCCCGGCGCCAGUUCGAUCACAUGCGAGACAUGUUCGACGAGUAUGUGAAGAGCCGGACCCUGCAGAACUGGAAGUUCUGGAUCUUCAGCAUCAUCAUCAAGCCUCUGUUUGAGUCCUUCAAGGGCAUGGUGUCCACCAGCAGCCUGGAAGAGCUUCACCGGACCGUGCUGUCUUGGCUAGAGCAGCACUGCGCCCUGCCUGUCCUCAGGCCAACGGUGCUGAGCACCCUCCGCCAUCUGAGCACCACCACCUCCAUCCUGACAGACCCCGCCCAGCUGCCCGAGCAGGCGGCAAAGGCUGUCACCAGAAUCGGCAAGAGGUCGGGGGAGUCUUAACCACGCUCAGCUGGCACGUGACUGCGCAAGGUGCCGUGGGGACCCUGCCCUGGCUGUGGAGAGGAGGCCGAGCUCCAGCCCUCCGGAUGCAGAGCUGCAGGCCCCAGGCUGCACUGGCCCCCGGCUGCUCCCAGUGCUGUGCUCAGGUCUGAAGCAGGUUGGUCCUGCUGACAACAGUCCCUGUUUUGGGAAUCCCUGCUGUAAACUCUCACUCAGCGACCUCAGUCACCGACUCCCUCCACCCUCCACCCUCUGGGCAGCCCUGACAGGGCACCGCCCAUUCCAGUCCCAUCAGUGCCCUGCCAGACCCUGGGGCAGAGGGGACACAUGGGUCCCCUGCCUGUGCCUGUUGCAUCCUGGACACUUGCACUGCUCAGUGACGCCCUGCACCCAUGCUGGCCUGCCCGUGGGCACGCGGCAGGCAUCCUUCUCUCUGACCGUGUAGAUAGAAGUGACAUCUGCUCAGACUUGCACAUGUAGCGCUCGUGUGCAGAAGCGGUGGGCAUGAUGCACAUGGAGAAGGAAAGCACAAACAAUGCAAAGCCCUGCGCUGGCCUGGGAGCUCUGCAGCCUUCCGGUCUGCUGUGACGUCGUACCAUGUGGCUGUGGCGUCCAUGGCACGCCCAAGGGAGGAUCCCGCAGUCCCAGCCCAGGCCCCUUGGCCACCAUGGCCCUUCUGCUCUGUUCACCUGCUUCCUCACUGCAGCCGGCAGGAGCCGGUGUCCAGUGGAAGCUCAUAGGCCUCGGGGCACAGGCUGGAAAGGCCAGACUCCGUAAUGCUGCCCCCAGCUUGGUCCUCUCAUCUGGACUCUUCAACCAGGAGCCCCGAAUGUGACAGUUUUCGGACCAAAGAUGUUGCCCACCCAGAGUCCAGCCUGUCUUGUGUUUGGAGGGAGAAAGAAAUGUUAACAGGCAGCCUUGGAGCUGUCUGCACGCAUCCCAGGUCAGACAGUGGAGCGUUGUCCCAGAUCUGAUCACAGUGAAGGAGUGUCUGGGGCAGCAGGCUGCUUUGGAACGUGGGUGCCGCCACCGGAAGGCUGGGAGGAAGGCACAGCAGGAGGGACUCCAGGCCGAGUUCUGUGUCUGGCAGAGUAGAUGCAGGCGUGUGGUGCUGGUUUAACACUCAGGAACCCCCCCAGGGGGCCCUCCUGGGGAGAGGAAUGUGCUCUGGACAGCGGUGGUGGUGAAGGUCAAGGUGCCCAGCAGGCUCUGCAUUGGACCUGCGUCCUGGCUGGCGGAAGCGGGGACCUGGCAGUGCUUGCUUGGCCGUCAGUCUUGAGGGGCUCUGAAGGGGCCCGGGAAUACAUGAAAAGGGGGCUGAUGUUCAGUUCCACUUGCAUGCCGUGUUCUCAGGGGCUCCUGAGGCCUGAGCAAGGUGCCCAGAGGGCAGGCAGCCUGCCUCAACCUUGGCUGACGAGAAUGGAGGAGGUUGUCCCUGCCUCUAGCCGGGGCACCAUCACCUGCAGGUCCCUACCCCUGAUCUGUGCUUUGCCCUGACAAGAGCAGCUUGGCGCCCCCAGCCUCCCCUGAAAACAUGUUUACAGGCCUUCCUGGGGAAUGAGCCCCAGGCAGAGUGCGACUGGUCCUUGAGAUUUCCCCUGGGAGUGGUAACAGAACCAGUCCUUACCCCCAGGAUAAACAUGGAGUUCCCCUUGGAAAGGGGACGACCACUGUGGUAAGAAUUUCACAAGGUCGAAGGAAAAAGCACGUUCCCAGCUAUGAGGGCCCAGGAGGGUCAGCUCGGCCCCUCUCUACUUCCUGUGCCUUCAAGUAAAAUGCGUAGAUGGCCUAGUGCUUGACCAGCCAGGGCUGCUCCCAGAUCAAUAGCUUUCUCCCCACCCUCCCGGGGAGGCUUUUUUUACAAACUCCAUAAAAUUGGCCUCUUGCUUUGGCCUACCUCUCCCUUUUGCUGAAUUAAUGUUCAUGAUUCUGUUUUGUUAAAUAUUUAAGGCUGUUAGUUGGUGUGAGACUUUGAAGAGGGUGUGUGUAUGUGUGUCUGUCUGUCCUUCCGUCUGUUGGUCUGUCCAUCCGUGUGUCCCAGCAAACUGUUAAGUGGGUGCAUGUUUUUGGUUUGAGAUAUUUACUUAACUCCAUUUAUCUUGGUGCUCACCGUCACCCGCUCUGGGCCACGAAGCUGCAGCUCUUACUGCAGACACGGCUGUUUCUUGUCCCAGCACUUUUCCCGUUUGGAAUCUUGCCCGAGGAACCUGGCCUGGUGUUGACUUCUGUCCUGGGCUCCUGGGUCAGAGUGUGGGGACACAGAGGCCGCUGCCUGUGGCCCUGUGGAUGCUGAUGCAAGGCUGUGGUUUGUUUACACUCAUUUUCACCCCCAUUCCCAUCCCUGCUCCCUUAAAAGAAACAAGUGCUGAUACUUUGGAGAAUCAGGAAAUUAGUCUGAAAAGAAAAAAAAAAAACCUGUCUGGCACGGGAGUCUCUGAAAGCGUUUCCGUGAAAUCCUCUGUGCCAUCGCCCCUCGUGCCGCCACGUGCUUUCGCUGAGUGGGACGUGCAGGGACAGGCCGUGGGACUUUCUGAAGCUGACUGGCCUGUGCCUCCGCCCAGACAUUCGCGCAGCUGCCCCCUCGGAGGGCUGGCGGGCGGCGCCUGCGUUUUUUCCCAGCACGAGGGAAGCAACCUGGGGUCUGGUGUUGGUGUUUGCGGGGUCUCUGGGUCUCCUCCAGGGGGCGGGGGGGCCGGGAGGGCAGCGCAGCCCCAUGUUCCUGGGCCUUUGGCAGGAGCAGAGGCGGCCGCAGGUAUCCCACGUACCCAGCUGCUCCCACUCCUGGCCCAUCACCUUGCCCUGCCGCCCCUUUCUGCUGCUCAGCGGGGCCUGAGGCCUUUCUGCUCUGGCCCGUUGAAGUGUCCACUUUGAUACUCUGGGGACUUUGCACCCAAGGAUGGCCCCAGGCCCCUUUGUCCCACUGCAGGCAAAGGGGUACAGGGGCUGGCGACACUGCUGUCCCCGUCAUUGCCUGGUCCUGGCAGGCCCAUAGGGCUGGGGUACGUGGGAAGGUGCCUGGGCCCCAUGGUGUCCAGGCACCCUCCCUGCCACUCCUCCUGCCUCUUGUUCUCUGGCUCUUCACCCAGAGGGUCCUGCGACCGCAGGUGUGUGGCUUUCAGGAUCCCAAGUUUUCACCAGCUGCCUGGGGUGACAGACCCCUCUUCAGCGGGAGGUGUGUGGACCCAAGGCCUGUGCACGCUCACCUUGCUGAGAAUCACCCGCUUCUCCUGGCGCUUGCUGGAGGUGGAACCUGCCACUGCUUGUUGGAGCCUCGUUGGAACUUCUCUUUGCAAAGUGCUUUCUCGGUCCUGGUCUCCUUGGGGCGGGGGCUCAGAAGCCCUGUGACCUAGGCAGCCCUGGAGCCCUGCGAUGGGACACCCUGCACUGGCUGCUCCUCCUGCCGCUUUUGUUAAAGAGGACUUUGACCACAUCUGAGCACAGAUAAGGAGAGGAUUCAGCCAACACCUUGGCCUUAAGCCGUGAGCCUCCCCUCGCAGGUUUUGUGACUGGAGGGUCAUGCCGGGGGGCAGAGGCAGCUCAGCGAGGCUCCAGGAACGGGGAGAAGCCUUCAGUCCUCCCCAUGUGUCCACCGGAGUUGACAUCCACUGGCCAGAGAAGGGGGGUAUCAACUGUCUGCUUUUCUUUUCCUUCUGCAGCUGACUCCCCGCUCACGUGCACAGGGCGGUCUCCUGUCAGGGCUUGCAAAAAUGAGCCUAGAGAAAGAAAAGGGAAUUUUCAUGUUGAAUUUUGAGUGUGUGUGUGUCAUUUUGCUAUUGUGGAAUUCCUUUCCAAUUACAGCAGGAUUCACCUCUGUCUCCCAAUCAAACUCUUGGUUCCACAGUCAACCCAUCCUGAGCAUCACUAAUUUGAAGAAUUCUGGGUUUCUGAAUAGAGGUUUGCUACACUCAAGAGCUGAGAUUGUGGAGGGCUGGGCGGAGCUGAAGUUUUAAAGACUUCUCCAUGGAGUUCACACCCUGCAGUUCAAAAGGCACGAAGGGCUCAGUCCUGGGACACAGGAUUCCAGGCUGUUCCUCCCAGAAGCCAGUGCCUCCUCAGGAUGCCUCCCUGCUUCCACAACUGAAUCUUCACACGGCCCCGGAGACGAAGCCUGUUUCUUUGCUUAUUUUGUAAUGCCACAGCUGAACACCACGUCCUUUUCCUGGGGGGGUGGGGGGGGGGCUUGGUUUAUUGUGUAAAUGGCUCGUUUUCUCUGUCGUUUGGUGAUUGUAUCUCGGGGCUCCUGGGGGAGGUAGUUACACUUGUGAUCUGAAAGACAAACCUCAGCAGUCCUGUUUGAUGGAGGCACCCCUGACCUCCCCCAGCACCCCCAGAAAGGGGUCUUCUGAUGCUCUGCUGUGAGAAGUGACCCCACCAGCUAUAUCAACACUACAAUGCAUUUUUGAAAUAUAUUUGCAUCCAAGACAAUAAAAAGACAUAUUUUUUGGAAAAGCCUGUGAUGUGUGGUCUUGAACGCGGCCCCGAAGGAGAUGAUGCAUGGCCAGAGCGAGUGAUGGCCACAGCCGGCUCCCAACCUGGGGGUGUAGGUUUGCCUGGAGGGGAGGCCCUGGGGUGAGGCGAGGCCCCUCCUGAGAGGUUCUGAAGAGGUGUCCAGAAACACGCUGUCCUAAAGAGAGCCUCACACACAUAGAAGGCUGGGGUCUGCCCUGGAACUGGGUGGGGCCGGGGCCUCAGGCCUCCCCCCUACUUCGGCAUCCACGCACUCAUACAAAGCACCUCUUGCCUCACCUGGAUCCCGGACCAAGCCACCUGCCGUGCUCACGUUACAGGUGCUGGGGGUUACACAGGGUAAGCCAGGAAGCACCGUGCUGGGGUGCAGUUGUCAUCACACGCCAGCGCUGGCCCCAGCUCAGAGGGCUCUUUGUCGUGGGCUGGUCUGCCCGCCGACCCUUGGCCCAGUACUCCGAGAGGAUGCUGGGAAGCGACCAGUGGAGAUGUCCCUUGGUUGUGUUGAGAUUGUGGUGAUGUCUGUUUAAUUCAGAAGCUUUUCUCUCCCACACCAUCUUCCUCUGCCCUGCUCCUUGUGCCUACACAGGGUGACAGGAUGAGCAGAGCCUGCUGUCCCCUUGCAGGCCACCCGUCCUGGGUAGAGCAGCUCCUGACAGGUGCGUGGACUCGUGACUGACCUUGCACCCCCUGAGGAGAGAGUCGUCAUGACUGCCGGCAAGACUUGGACCUUCAGAACCUGGACCCCAGCGAGAGUCUUUGUUCCAGCCACGAAAGCCUGCCCCCCAUCUGCUGGGAAGUGUGAAGGUGGAGGCCCAGCCAUGUGGCAGGACUCAGAGGCUGACUCACCCCAGGACACCCCAGGUUCCUCUGAAGGUGAGGG